rnacentral:lncRNA from 1 species
CAACGGCUCAAACAUCUGUAGAUAUUCUAUUCUCUCAUUGUUCCUUCCUGCCGCAGUGUUAAGAAUCUCUCUCCGAGGUCCCGUCUUACGUCAAUUGGAAUUGAUCCACUAAUUGAACCUUCAGUUCCUCCCAAUUAUGCAUCCGUUUCCAACACUAUGCCAUCGAUACCAAGACAUAGGCGUAUUGUUGUAGCCUCUAAUUGCUGUACUUCCGUUAUUUGAUUCACAAAUAAAUAGCAUGCCACCUUGCAAACCCACCCCUCCGGAUUUUUUUACUCCAAAUAAUGGUAUCUCCAACCUCUGGUAUCGACAUUUCGAACGCUACUGCGCUACGAUUACUUCAUUCAUUUCCUUGCUCUCUUCUUCUAUCCCUGGGGUUACAACAGAAUUUAUAGUGAAUCCAGAUGGUUGAGUAUCUUCCUUCCCUUUUAUUUUCAGUUCUUUCCUGCACUUCCUAACAAGUCAUGAUUUAUUUGAAUUCUUCCAUCAUCGUGGUCAAUUUCUUCUCUAUAUUCUGCACUCUAUGAAAUUCUGAUGUCAUCGAAUAACGAGUCCAGUCUGAAAUUCUUCCAUACAUCCUGCAAGAUCUUGGUGAUAGCUCUCAAUUCUCCCUUCUAGUUCCUCACUUUAUCUGUUAAGAGUCAACUCCACUUAUACCAACUUGAUAUAUCAAUGGCUGUUAUGCAAUAGAAACAAGAGCAAACAUGAAGGCAGAA